UCCAUUUUAAUUUUCGCAGUUUUUUUUUUGGUUUAUGGUUUAGGAGAGAGAAAAUAAGUUGAGAAGGAGAAACAUAUGAAGUUUUUAAUCUCUUUCUUCUCCAAAUAUCAACACGGCUUUGUUUUUCGAGAAAGAAUCAGCUACCACGCGGCCCACUGAAGUUAUUGUGGAAACCAAGAUUGACGGUGCGAUUGAAUGGCAUUCAUGUAAUUUCAGUCGUUUACUCAUGUGGGCCCUGCUAAAUGGAAGGGGAAGAUUGACCGUACUUAUGAUAGAUGCACUUUUUGAUCUGAUACACUUUUAGUCAUCGUUCCUUAUUAAAGAAAAAAAUAUUUAAAAUGAGGACUGUUACCAUAAUGGCAUUCAUGUGAUUACUUGUAAAGUUUAGGGGUGAUAAUUAUAUUUGAGAACAAACGGGUGAUGUGUAUCAACCAAUAAGAUUUGAAGGCUGUGAGUGUUGGAUCAAUCAGAA